AUGUAACAAAAUAUAUCUAGAGCUCUGUGAAACAUCGAUUGUUUAUUUCUUUUUGGGGUUGUAGCCAUUAUGUCAUCCUUAACAGGUGCAUAAUUUGAGCUCCCAAGUGCAGGUGUACUCACUAGUUGCAUGGCUUUCUUGUCAGUAUGAAUUGUGUUUUUUUUUUUAAGUUGAUGAAUGUUGAGUGCCUUAUAUUCUUAAUAGAGUGCUAUCAAGCCCAUCAUGUCUAAGUGUGAGAUGUAGUAUUUUAUUAAUACAUCCAUAAUGGGGUGCGAUAAGGGUGAGCAUGGUUCCCCGGUAGAACCGGGAACCAGGGAAUUGAACCGGUUCUAAAGGGACCGAUUCCGGUUCCCGGUUCCCUUUUUCUGGGAACCGGUACUGGGAAUCGGAACCAGUCCAGUUAGGGCUCAAAAAAAGCCCCAAUUUGAUUUUCACAACACUUUCAGUCUUAGAUACCUGUGUUCUCUCUUCGCCAUAUGCUACAUGUGUUCUCUCUUUGCCCUCUGCUGAGUCUGCUCGACGCCACCUGAGAUUCCCUCAGCACAUCCCUGCUUUGCACUUCUGCCGGCCGCUACGUCUCCGAGUGACCCCUGCUCACUCGCGCCAACACUAAAAGCACUCUGCAGCAGAUUUUAAGCCCCGCCGCGCCUCGCUUGCAGCCCGCACCGACCCGCAACAACCCAACGUCGCUCCUGCUCCACCCGCUGCUGCUGCCCGACGCCGCUACUCACCCCCGCCGCUGUGAUCCCGCGACACCGCUGCUCUGCCUUGGCUGUGCCCCGAAGCCUACGACGCAGCUGCUCUGCCUUCGCCAUGCCCCGAAGCCUGCGACCCGCAGUGCCCUUGCUUAGCUCCGAGCUUUCCCCAAGCGACGCUGCUGCAGCUUGCCGCUCGCCCUCGACGCCACCGUCGCUCGCCCUCGACGCCACCGCUGACCUCUACUCGAUGAGCCAUUGCUGACCUCUGCUCGACACCAUCGCUAACCUCUUCUUUGCGAAGUUAAUAUAUCAAGAUAGCACAUCAAUGGAGGUGGAGGGACAUGAGGAGAUGACUCCGAUCACGGAAUUAAAGUUUUCUGGCAAUGAAAAUAAGGAAGAGGCACCCCCUACUAUGAGUGCCACAAGUAAGGUACCUAGUUCUCAUCUUACUCAUGAUAAUAAAUAUACAUCCGAGUGUUGGAAUCAUUAUAUGAGAAUCAAUGAUAAGGAUGGAAAAACAAAUUAAGUGAUGUGCAUUCAUUGUGGAACCAUGCUUAAUUAUCGUGUUGCUAAUUAACUUUUGCGAUGAGGAAGCACUUGACCACAUGCAAGAGGUUUUCCCGUAAUGUAGAUAAUAGGCAGAAAUUCUUUGCACCACGUAAUGUAGACAUGGCUGGCAAGGCAGGAGAUUCUAGUACUGAUAGUGUCUUAUCGACAUGGUCGUUUAAUCAAGAACGUUGUAGGUGAAUGCUUGCUCGGUUCAUCAUCCUUGAUUAACAACCUUUUUCCUUGGUUGAGCGUGUUGGAUUUCGUGAAUUUGUCAGUGAGUUACAACCUAUCUUCAAAUAUUUAUCACGUUUCACAAUGGCAAAAGAUUACAUAAAGUUGUAUUUAGAUGAAAGAAUUUCUUUGAAGAAUUAUUUUCGAAAGAUUAAUUCUAGGAUCGCACUCACGACUGAUACAUGGAGUUCCAUUCAAAAUCUGAAUUAUAUGUGUCUCACUGCACAUUUUAUCGAUGAAAAUUGAAAGUUGCAUAAAAAAAUCAUCAACUUUGUGGUGAUGCAUAGUCAUGGGGGUAGGGAGAUUGGGAAAAUGGUGGAGAAAUGCAUUCAGGAGCGGAGAAUAGAAAUAAAAAUGUCCACAAUCACUGUAAAUAAUGCUAGCUCGAAUGAUGUUGCAAUUGCCUAUUUAAGAGAAAAAUUUUCGAAAGAAAAGUCAUUGAUAUUAAAUGGUAGUGUUUUGCACAUGAGGUGCACAACUCAUAUAUUAAAUUUGAUAGUGAGAGAUGGCCUGACUACAGUACGUGACUCUAUUGCACGUAUCCGAAAUGUGAUUAGGUAUGUAAGGAGUUCUCCUACGAGAGCCAAAGCAUUUCAGUCUUGCAUUGAGAGUUAAGAGAUCACUUAUAAGGGUUCGGUAGUUCUUGACGUUGCCACUAGAUGGAACUCCACUUAUCUCAUGUUAGACACCGCCAUAAAGUUCAGAAAAGCUUUCCAAAUAAUGGAAGACGAUGAUUUAUCUUUUGCAAGUGAGCUUAGUCAUGGAAUUCCUAGUGAUGAUGAUUGGGAAAAUGCUAUUAUUCUUUCGGAAUUUCUAAAAGUAUUCUAUAAUACCACCAAUAAGAUGUUGGGGAGUUCAUAUGUUACUUCAAAUGAUUAUUUUAAAGGGAUAACUCUUUUGUAUAGAUAUUUGAAAGAUGCGGUCGAUGCUUCGAAUCCUAAGCUUUAAGCUAUGGGUGUGAAAAUUAAAGAAAAAUUUGAUAAAUAUUAUGGAAGCUUGGAUAAAAUGAAUAUGAUGGUGUUAAUUGUGGUUGUGUUAGAUCCUAGAGCCAAGUUGAAUUAUGUGACUUUCUUGUAUGGACAAAUUUAUGAUGAUGAAUUGAAAGUUAAAGAGAUGCAUUACAAGGUGAAAGAUACAUUGGAGUGUUUGUAUGAAUUUUAUGAGCAAUCUUCUCCUAUUUCAAGUGAUCGAAAUUUUAGUGGUCAUAGUUCAGGUGCAAGUAGUAGUGCUUCCAAUGCCGAUACGGGUGGUAGUGAAGGAAUAAAGAAGUAUGACGCCCAAGAUACGGGUGGUAGUGAAAGAAUAAAGAAGUAUGACGCCCAAGCUUGGAAGAAAAUAUUUUUAUACUCAAAUGAACAAGGGUGCGAUGACAACAAGUCCAAGCUUGAUGAGUAUUUUCAAGAAAAAAAAUGAAAAGGAUCUUGAUCUUGACCUUUUGAUGUGGUGGAAGACUAAUGGCUCAAAAUAUAAGAUCAUUUCUUUGAUGACUCGAGAUAUUUUGUCCAUUCCCGUAACUACCGUUGCUUCCGAGUCAACUUUUAGUACAUCGGGUCGUGUGCUUAAUGGCUUUCGAAGUUCUUUAACUCCCAAAGUAGCAGAAGCUUUGAUUUGCACUCAAGAUUGGUUGAGAGCCAUUCGUGUACCGAUUGAUGUUGAGGAGUGCAUCGAGAAUGCAGAAAAAUUUGAGUUAGAUAUGGAUGGUCUUAAUGCGGAGAUUAUCGCCGAUAAAUAGAGUUUAUCACUAAGAGGAUGCCUUGCAUUGAAAAGAGCAGUAGGUCUUAUGCGGGCCAAGUGAAGGGGCUGGUGUGGAAUCAGAAUUCUUGUCUUAUUUACAGUAUUACUUUUUUAUCUGAUGAAAUCACCUUGGGAUUGUAUUAUUAUGAAGGCAAAUAUGGUUACUUUCUUGCAACUUACAGUGCUGUGUCUCCGAAUGAUUUGUCAACAAUCUAUCCACAUCCAUUAUAUUACAAGGUAUCUAAAAGACGUGAUUUUUCUGAAUGUAGGAGCAAGGAUUUGUAAGGAAUGGACAUGCUGAUAAAUGGGAAAGGGUUCACCAAAUUCAAGAUAAGUUUGAAUAUGAUGGAGAGAGAAGAAUGAGGGAGAAAGGAUGAUCUGAAGCUUGCUAAUAAUGGCGCAAAGACAAGUACAACGAAGAGGAGUGCUGACUUUGGCGAAAAUCUUUGGGAACUUGAAGACGCUUUAUCAGAAGCUACAUCAAAGCAUGAGCUAUGAGUCUUUUGCUGAUUUAAACAAGUUUUCCCAGGUAUGCCACUUGCAUAAAGUUAGUAGGAUAGCAGGGAAUGCACAAUUUUUCCCACGAGUGUAAUGUGUGCCACCAUAGAUAUGGUGUCUGCAUAAAGGUGAACUUACCUUUAUGAUUUUAUGAACUCCGUGUUCAUUAUAAGUAGAUGAAGCUAAGUCUGGCUCUUAUGCCUGCAGUGCAAUUAUGGUCACUGUUAGAGCAUGUUUCAUCCAUCAUGUGCUCAAACUACUGGAUUGCUCAUGAGUGUAAGAAUAGUUUGUUUAUUAUUGCUUCUAAA